UAGGGAAUCUUCGGCAAUGGGGGCAACCCUGACCGAGCAACGCCGCGUGAGUGAAGAAGGUUUUCGGAUCGUAAAGCUCUGUUGUAAGUCAAGAACGAGUGUGAGAGUGGAAAGUUCACACUGUGACGGUAGCUUACCAGAAAGGGACGGCUAACUACGUGCCAGCAGCCGCGGUAAUACGUAGGUCCCGAGCGUUGUCCGGAUUUAUUGGGCGUAAAGCGAGCGCAGGCGGUUUGAUAAGUCUGAAGUUAAAGGCUGUGGCUCAACCAUAGUUCGCUUUGGAAACUGUCAAACUUGAGUGCAGAAGGGGAGAGUGGAAUUCCAUGUGUAGCGGUGAAAUGCGUAGAUAUAUGGAGGAACACCGGUGGCGAAAGCGGCUCUCUGGUCUGUAACUGACGCUGAGGCUCGAAAGCGUGGGGAGCGAACAGGAUUAGAUACCCUGGUAGUCCACGCCGUAAACGAUGAGUGCUAGGUGUUGGAUCCUUUCCGGGAUUCAGUGCCGCAGCUAACGCAUUAAGCACUCCGCCUGGGGAGUACGACCGCNGNUU
rnacentral:rRNA from 1 species